rfam:Glycine soja cultivar W05 scaffold2425_3, whole genome shotgun sequence.
UUCUAAUUGGAUGAUAAUUAUCAUAUGUCAUGUUCUGAUUGACCGACAACAAUAAUGUAUUUCAUCGUUCAUAGAGUCGAUAUCCAAUCAUGACUCGUUCAAUCAGGAUGUGACAUGUGAUCGUCUAACAUUC